UUUUUUCUUUCUUCUUCUCCCCAAAGCCCCCCAGUACAUAGUUGUAGAUUGUAGUGUGAGUGCCUCUGGUUGUGGCAUGUGGGACGCUGCCUCAGCAUGGCCUGAUGAGCGGUGCCAUGUCCGCACCCAGGAUCCGAACCGGUGAAACCCUGGGCCGCCGAAGGCAGAGCACGUGAACUUGACCACUCGGCCACGGGGCCCAUUCCUACACUGGCUUUUUAGACUCGUCCUUCCCGAACUGCCCGGGCAGCUGGAUCGCAGCGCAUGGCGAAGGCGGGAGGUGCACUUCCCCCGGACCAGCGGGCUCGGGCUCCACAGUGACAGCGUCCAGGCCACAGAUGGGUCUUGCCAGUUGCUCCUCUCUGGGCCUGGCCUGAGCCCUUCGGAUGGUGUCAGCCCCGGGGCCUGGACCCAGGGUUUGAGGGCGAGGCUCCCGGGGCUUCUGCCUCAUGCGGAGGUUAGGUUACAAAGCCUGCAUGAAAGACUCCAAAUUCAUUUAGUCAAUUUACCCUUGAAAAUUCCUUAAAUGAACAGAAUGUAGGGCCCUUGGAAGCUCAAAAUCUAAUAAUUCACUUUGUUCUGUUUUCAUUUUGGCUGUGGCCUUGCUUUCCUUGGAACUGUGAAGACCAAGGUCUCAUUUGAACGAGGUGGGAAUUAGAGGAGGGUCAAGGGUUGACGAGCUCUCUCACACGUUUGAUUCAUCGCAAGUUUACGUGUGCAUGUGACGUGGCUCCUGCGUGUCGAUGUGGUGGGGGACAUCGCGGGCACAGAUACGUUGUGUCACUCAAUCUCACAGUGGCCAUAGGAGCAGGCUGGAGCCGUGCAUCCGUCAGUUGCAGGAGACAAAAAAUCCAGCGCAGAGGGAGUUUGCAGACUCUGGGAACUGGCCGUGUGAGCACUGACCAGGCUUCAGGCCUGGCUCUAACAAUCUGGGGUCUGAUCUCUCGCAGUCUUCCCUCUUUGCUCCCUGACGAGUUGGCCUCGCUCUCAGCUAGUCUCUUCCGAUUGAAGGCAAAGUGGUCACUCGCGGCUCCUGAGGUAGCCUCCUCCUCUGUCAACUUACAGCCUCAGUGGAAAAGCAGCCUUUACCACGAGCUCAGCAAGAGGCUCAGGAAGGGUUUUCAUUGGUCCAGCUCGAGUCACACACCUGUCCCUGACCAAUCACGGGGCUGUGUGUGAAUUAAGUGCCCACCCCUGGAGACCCUCAUGGACUGAGAGCCGGGGAGGGGGGUCCCCAAAGAAAAGAG
rnacentral:lncRNA from 1 species